rnacentral:rRNA from 1 species
AGGACUUAAGGUCUGGAGCCGAAGUGAAAGCAAGCGUUAAUAGCGCGUCAAGUCAGUGAGUGCAGACCCGAAACCGGGUGACCUAUCCAUGUCCAGGUUGAAGCUUCCGUAAGAGGAAGUGGAGGACCGAACCCACAUCCGUUGAAAAGGGUGGGGAUGAGGUGUGGAUAGCGGAGAAAUUCCAAUCGAACCCGGAGAUAGCUGGUUCUCCUCGAAAUAGCUUUAGGGCUAGCCUCAUGAGAGUCUUAUGGAGGUAGAGCACUGAAUUGCCUAGGGGGCGUCAAAGCUUACCAAAGCAUAUCAAACUCCGAAUGCCAUCAAGAUGAUUCAUGGGAGUCAGACCAUACGAGAUAAGUUGGAUGGUCAAAAGGGAAAGAGCCCAGACCUACAGCUAAGGUCCCAAAGUGCGUGUUAAGUGGAAAAGGAUGUGGGGAUUCUAAGACAACUAGGACGUUGGCUUAGAAGCAGCCAUUCAUUGAAAGAGUGCGUAAUAGCUCACUAGUCGAGAGUCCCUGCGCCGAAAAUGUCCGGGGCUGAAACACGACACCGAAGCUUAGGAAUGUGUAAACAUUGGUAGAGGAGCAUUGCUGGCGGGAUGAAGCCAUACCGUAAGGAGUGGUGGACUGCUAGGAAGAGAGAAUGCCGGAAUGAGUAGCGAGAUGAAGGUGAGAAUCCUUCAGGCCGAAUAUCUAAGGUUUCCAGAGUAAAGCUGAUCUGCUCUGGGUAAGUCGGGACCUAAGGCGAGGUCGAAAGACGUAGUCGAUGGAUAACAGGUUGAAAUUCCUGUACCGCAUAUAAACAGAACUGUGGGGACACAGACAGGGAAUGGAAUCCGGGAAUGGAAAUCCCGGUGCAAGCGAGGUAGGAGUGCUGUUGGCAAAUCCGCAGCACGAUCUGAAGACGUGACGCGUACCGAACAUAAGUAGGGAAGUCCAGGCCCCUGGCUGUCAAGAAAAGCCGCUAUCGUUUUAUAUGUGCCCGUACCGCAAACCGACACAGGUGGAUGAGGAGAGAAUCCUAAGGCCGACGGGAGAAGUAUUGUUAAGGAACUCGGCAAAAUGACUCCGUAACUUCGGGAGAAGGAGUGCCAUGAGAGUGGCCGCAGAGAAAUGGCCCAAGCAACUGUUUAGCAAAAACACAGGUCUAUGCAAAACCGCAAGGUGAAGUAUAUGGGCUGACGCCUGCCCGGUGCUGGAAGGUUAAGGGGAGAGGUUAGCGCAAGCGAAGCUUUGAACUUAAGCCCCAGUAAACGGCGGCCGUAACUAUAACGGUCCUAAGGUAGCGAAAUUCCUUGUCGGGUAAGUUCCGACCCGCACGAAAGGCGUAAUGAUUUGAGCGCUGUCUCGACAAUGCAUCCGGUGAAAUUGAAGUACCAGUGAAGAUGCUGGUUACCUGCGCCAGGACGGAAAGACCCCAUGGAGCUUUACUCCAGUUUGGUACUGGGAUCCGGUACUGCAUGUACAGGAUAGGUGGGAGGCUAUGAAUCGGUAACGCCAGUUGCCGAGGAGCCGCUGUUGGGAUACCACCCUUGCAGUAUUGGGUUUCUAACCAGCCGCCGUGACCCGGCGGUGGGACAAUGCCAGACGGGGAGUUUGACUGGGGCGGUCGCCUCCGAAAGGGUAUCGGAGGCGCCCAAAGGUUCCCUCAGAAUGGACGGAAACCAUUCGAAGAGUGCAAAGGCAGAAGGGAGCUUGACUGCGACACCGACGG